GCGAGUGUAGUAUAAUGGUAGAACAAAAGCUUCCCAAGCUUUGGGCGAGGGUUCGAUUCCCUUCACUCGCACCA
rnacentral:tRNA from 1 species